GAGUUUGAUCCUGGCUCAGGACGAACGCUAGAGGCGUGCCUAACACAUGCAAGUCGAGCGAGGAGACUUCGGUCUCUAGCGGCGGACGGGUGAGUAACACGUGGGUAACCUGCCUCGUAGUGGGGGAUAGCCUUCCGAAAGGAAGAUUAAUACCGCAUAACAUAGUUUAGCCGCAUGGCUGAAUUAUCAAAGGAGUCUUAUCAAUUUAUUGAUAAGCAUCCGCUAUGAGAUGGACCCGCGGCGCAUUAGCUAGUUGGUGAGGUAACGGCUCACCAAGGCGACGAUGCGUAGCCGACCUGAGAGGGUGAUCGGCCACAUUGGAACUGAGAUAC
rnacentral:rRNA from 1 species